rnacentral:lncRNA from 1 species
ACAAACCAGGCUCAGUUCUGGGAGUGGAUAAAGGAGCCAUUUUCUUGCUUUUCCUUAGGCCCCUACCUCAGCCACUUUGAGAAAACGUCCUGAAUAAAACUCAGGCACAGACCAUAUUUUAAAAAGUGGUUCCCUAGUCCUUGAACCCCAUCUGAUGCUCCAAGUGUGACAAUCCAGGACUGCUGGCAAGGCAGGAGGAGGGAUGGAGCUUUGUUGGACACAUCAGAAUGCAGGGCUAAGCAUUCCCAGUGUCUUCAGUGAUCCUCAGCAGCAUGGACUCAAGGCCCUCCACCAUUCAUCAUGAGGAUUCAUUGACCCCUGAUCAGGGAGUAAUACUUGAAAUUAUUCUGGAGCCGGUAAAGCAAUGGGACACAGUGGAAAGAAUACUGAAUCUGCAGUUAGAUGACCCGAGUGGAAAUCCUGCAUUUGCUAAUUUAUCCAUGUGACUACGGACAAAUCUCUCAACCUCUCUUGGCCUCAGUUUUCUUUUCUGUAAAAUAAAAGAAUUGGAAUCUAACCUCUGAGUUCCCUU